CCUACGGGAGGCAGCAGUGGGGAAUAUUGCACAAUGGGGGAAACCCUGAUGCAGCGACGCCGCGUGAGUGAAGAAGUAUUUCGGUAUGUAAAGCGCUAUAAGCAGGGAAGAUACUGACGGUACCUGACUAAGAAGCCCCGGCUAACUACGUGCCAGCAGCCGCGGUAAUACGGAGGGGGCAAGCUUUAUACGGAUUUACUGGGUGGAACGGGUGCGUAGGUGGCAGUGCAAGUCAGAUGGGAAAGCCCGGGGCUCAACCCCGGUACUGCAUGUGACACUGUCCAGCUGGAGUGCAGGAGAGGUAGGCGGAAUUCCUAGUGUAGCGGUGAAAUGCGUAGAUAUUAGGAGGAACACUGGUGGCGAAGGCGGCUUACUGGACUGUAACUGACACUGAGGCACGAAAGCGUGGGGAGCAAACAGGAUUAGAUACCCUUGUAGUC
rnacentral:rRNA from 1 species